GAGCCAAAGAGUUGUAGCUGUAUCAGUUAUAGGGAACAAGAUUCCAUUAUAUGGAGGUGGAGCAAGUUUGAGCACACCAGCAGGGGCGACGCCAUUACCAGUGCCACUAAAAUUAAACUUCAAGCUUCGAUCAAGAGCUUAUGUCCUAGGGAAAAUGGUAAAGCCCAAGUUCUACAAGACAAUUGAUUGUCUACUUACUCUUCGUCCCCAGAAGAUGAACGCCGCAACUUCACUAAAGAAUUGUACCUACAGUUGAUUAUGGAGCUAUCUAAGUUGGUAAAGUUUUGAUCUUUUUUCUCAAAUCUUGAUUGUCAACAAAGUGAAUUGAUAGCUAUUGGGGUCUCUAUCUUUUGCCCCCACUACUUACCAACUUUCUCUCUGGAGUAGAAUGUGGACAGCCUGUGUUACAUGUUACAACAAAUUUUCCAACUAGCCGCUACUGGAAAAUGGACAGAACAAGAAUGUGACAAUUAUUCAUUUCUCAUGUUAAUUCACCUUGUUAUUAUAUAAUAAUCUAUACCACAAUAUAUAGAUUGAUUUGUUUAUUUGUUUUGGAAGUUGAAUAGUACUUUUUUUUU
rnacentral:misc_RNA from 1 species